rnacentral:other from 1 species
AGAGUCCUGAUGUGUACGUUCUUUAACCUAUAAGUUUUGACCGAACACUUAUAGUUACGGGAGCCCACGUUUCCGGGCUACGUAAAUGCCUUUAAAGAUUGAGGACUUACAGAUGUACGGAACAGAGCACCCACCUGCGGAGAGCGGGUUCAAAACAAAGGAACAAACGGCACAAUUGGGACUCUU